UGCUACCCUUAAUGGCGUUCAAUAAAAAUAUCGGAAAAUUACGCCCUAAGGGGGCGCAAUAAACGAGGAAAUUGUAUAUCUUGUAAUUGGCCUGAGGAAUGUUCUUCAAACUAUAAGCGAACCAUCAAGGGGCAAACCCGAGUCUAUAUAGAAAAUAUGGCCAAGAAUUAUUAAUGUGGGCGGGAGUUAUUUGGCAAAGGAAAAUUGUCUUUGGAAAAUUUCGCCACAGGGUGGCGCCAAAAAACGACGACAUUGUCUAUCUCCUAUUUGGCCAAUGUUCGGAAAACGCGUUUUAGGCUAUAACUCCCACACCGAAGCUCCCACAGUCAAAGCCUUUAUAUCCACAUGUUGUUCACGGUAGCGUUUUCAAUACUUGCUUCGCGUUGUGCCGGCGAAACGCACAUUUCUUGUCGCGUUGUGCCGGCGAAAUGCACACUUCUUGGACCCCUGCAUAACUGCUUGCAGUUCUAGUUAGGGGUCCAAGCCAACAGGUUGGAUCCCUAUUGUUUUUGUAAGGAUUAUUAUUAUUAUUAUUAUUAUUAUUCCAGCACUAAAAGUGUGCCCACACCCCAAACCGUAAAUGGUGCGGACACGCGAAUUGCAUGACUAGAUCCAGGUCCGUGAACACUACGCAGACGACAAAAUCCAGACACGCCGGCCACUAGGUGGCGCUAUACCAAGGAAUACGCGUUUGGGGCUAUAACUCCCACACCGAACCUCCCACAGUCAAAAACUUGUACGCACAUAUUCACUGGAGUCUGCUGCAUCUUUUGGCAUAGGCCACGCCCAUUUGCGUCUAGAAUUUUUUUUUCGCAAAAUCGCGAAAACCGCAAAACUGUUUUUUCCCUACUCCUCCCACAUUUCUCGACCAAUCAACACCAAACUUUGCACACGGCAUCUUCAGACGCACACGCAAAGAAACCCUCUGACAGUUUUUUGAUCCGACUUUCGACGACGAAACGGUAGCGUUUUGAAUAUUGGUUUAUUAGCUAAAUUUGACGUGGAAAAUCAAAAAUCAAAAAAAACCAAAAUUAGACAUCGGAUCGAGUCCACAUUUUACACACAUGUCGGGGCUAGCCUUAAUGUCGUUCGAUAAAAAAUUCGGAAAAUUUCGCCAUUAGGGGGCGCAAUAAACGAGGAAAUUGUAUAUCUUCUAAAAAAUUUCGCCGCGAAAACGCUACACUGACUUCUCGCUACUCCUACCACAGUCAAAUCCUUUGUAUCCACAGGUUCAGGGUAGCGUUUUGAACACAUGCUUCGCGUUGUGCCGGCGAAACGCACAUUUCUUGUCGCGUUGUGCCGGCGAAAUGCACACUUCUUGGACCCCUGCAUAACUGCUUGCAGUUCUAGUUAUUAUACUAUACGCCUUAGAAGUGGUACCACAGCCCAAACCGUAAAUGGUGCCGACACGCCAAUUGCAUGACUAGAUCCAGGUCCGGCACCGCUACUCAGAUAACCAAAUCCAGACACGCCGGCCACUAGGUGGCGCUAUACCAAGGACAGACGCGUUUGGGGCUAUAACUCCCACACCGAACCUCCCAGAGUCCAAAAACUUGUACACACAGAUGCACUGGAGUCUGCUGCAUCUUUUGGCCUAGGCCACGCCCAUUUGCGUCUAGGAAUAUUUUUCGCUAUAUCGCGAAAACCGCAAAAAUGUUUUUUCGCUACUCCUCCCACAUUUCUCGACCAAUUGACACAAAACUUUGCACACGACAUCGUCAGACCUACACGAAAAGAAUUCCUGCAUUACUUUUUUGAUCCGUCCUUCGAUAACGAAACGGUAGCGUUUUGAAUAUUGGUUUAUUAGCUAAAUUAGACGUGGAAUAUCAAAAAUCCAAAGAAAUCAAAAAUUAGACAUCGGAUCCAGUCCACAUUUUACACACAUGUUGGUGCUAACCUUAAUGUCGUUCGAUAAAAAUUUCGGAAAAUUUCGCCAUUAGGGGGCGCAAUAAACGAGGAAAUUGUAUAUCUUCUACAAAAUUUCGCCGCGAAAACGCUACACUGACUACUCGCUACUCCUACCACAGUCAAAUCCUUUGUAUCCACAGGUUCAGGGUAGCGUUUUGAACACAUGCUUCGCUUUGUGCCGGCGAAACGCACAUUUCUUGUCGCGUUGUGCCGGCGAAAUGCACACUUCUUGGACCCCUGCAUAACUGCUUGCAGUUCUAGUUAUUAUACUUCCCGCGCUAAAAGUGGGCCCACAGCCCAAACCGUAAAUGGUGCGGACAUGCCAAUAGCAUGACUAGAUUCAGGUCCGGCACCGCUACUCAGAUAACAAAAUCCAGACACGCCGGUCACUAGGUGGCGCUAUACCAAGGAAUACGCGUUUGGGGCUAUAACUCCCACACCGAACCUCCCACAUUCAAAAACUUGUACCCACAUAUUCACUGGAGUCUGCUGCAUCUUUUGGCAUAGGCCACGCCCAUUUGCGUCUAAAUUUUUUUUUCGCAAAAUCGCGAAAACCGCAAAACAGUUUUAUCGCUACUCCUCCCACAUUUCUCGACCAAUUGACACAAAACUUUGCAAACGGCAUCUUCAGACCUACACGAAAAUAAUUCCUGCAUUACUUUUUUGAUCCGACCUUCGAUGACGAAAGGGUAGCGUUUUGAAUAUUGGUAUAUUAGCUAAAUUAGACGUGGAAAAUCCAAAAUCCAAAAAAAUCCAGAAUUAGACAUCGGAUCGAGUCCAAAUUUUUCACACAUGUCGGUGCUACCCUUAAUGGCGUUCAAUAAAAAUAUCGGAAAAUUACGCCCUAAGGGGGCGCAAUAAACGAGGAAAUUGUAUAUCUUGUAAUUGGCCUGAGGAAUGUUCUUCAAACUAUAAGCGAACCAUCAAGGGGCAAACCCGAGUCUAUAUAGAAAAUAUGGCCAAGAAUUAUUAAUGUGGGCGGGAGUUAUUUGGCAAAGGAAAAUUGUCUUUGGAAAAUUUCGCCACAGGGUGGCGCCAAAAAACGACGACAUUGUCUAUCUCCUAUUUGGCCAAUGUUCGGAAAACGCGUUUUAGGCUAUAACUCCCACACCGAAGCUCCCACAGUCAAAGCCUUUAUAUCCACAUGUUGUUCACGGUAGCGUUUUCAAUACUUGCUUCGCGUUGUGCCGGCGAAACGCACAUUUCUUGUCGCGUUGUGCCGGCGAAAUGCACACUUCUUGGACCCCUGCAUAACUGCUUGCAGUUCUAGUUAGGGGUCCAAGCCAACAGGUUGGAUCCCUAUUGUUUUUGUAAGGAUUAUUAUUAUUAUUAUUAUUAUUAUUCCAGCACUAAAAGUGUGCCCACACCCCAAACCGUAAAUGGUGCGGACACGCGAAUUGCAU
ensembl:lncRNA